AUAAACGCUGGCGGCGUGCUUUAUGCAUGCAAGUCGAACGGGCGCCAGGGCUUCGGCCUUGUCGCUAGUGGCGAACGGGUGAGUAACACGUAUGUAACCUGACCGGAAGUGGGGAACAACCCGCCGAAAGGCGGGCUAAUACCGCAUAUGGUCGCCGGUGCAAGACCGGUGGACGAAAGUCGUAAGACGCUUCCGGAGGGACGUGCGGCCGAUUAGCUAGUUGGUGUGGUAACGGCGCACCAAGGCGACGAUCGGUAGCUGGUCUGAGAGGACGGCCAGCCACACGGGGACUGAGACACGGCCCCGACUCCUACGGGAGGCAGCAGCAAGGAAUCUUGCGCAAUGGGCGAGAGCCUGACGCAGCAACGCCGCGUGGGGGAAGAAGGCCUUCGGGUCGUAAACCCCUGUUGCAGGGGAAGUAACUGACGGUACCCUGCGAGGAAGCCACGGCUAACUACGU
rnacentral:rRNA from 1 species